rnacentral:tRNA from 1 species
GGAGGUGUGGCUCAGUGGUAGAGCACUUGCCUCACUCAUGCAAGGCCCUGGGUUUGAUACUCAGCACCACAU